UGCCUGGCAGAGAGAUCCCAGUUUCAUUUCCCUUUAAACAACUUUUUUGAAAAGUGUUUUUGGAACGUGCGUAGAACAAUACACACACAUUGAUAAUUAUGAUAUAUAUACUAUAUACACCAUAUAUAACUCUAGACAUUAAGCCAGCUUACACGUUGAUGAAACAAUAAAGAUUCGGAUCGUACAAAAAACAAGGCAA